UAACAAAUGAAUAAUUAACUUAAACUGACUAGAAUACAGAAGUCCAGGAGGAGGAGGAGAGAUUUAAGCCUUGCUUGCUGACUUCCUGACCUAAAUGCUGCUCAACUACAACUCCCAGGAGCACCAGACUGUCUGACCAAUGCUAAAGAAUGGAACAGCACAUUCUUGUGGGCAGCUUUGCUGGAAAUUUUUCAUCUAUAAACAGCCCGUUUCUUGUUACCAUCCAGAAGAAACAAGGAAAGAAUGUUGCAUCUCGCAUUAAUGCACGAUUUCAUCUGGAAAGAGCACCUAGCCUCAACAUGCUGUUCUGCUCUGAAAACAGAGAUCUUCCUUUGGCACUGAACUAUGUGUUAUACUUCCAUUGAUAUGAGCACCAGCCACUUGCGAGAUCUGGAGAAAUUAUUUGCAGAGAAAAAUGCAAUGGUGGGUGCCAUACAAGAGACAAAUUAGCUGGUCAUUUUCCCUGCUGCAUAUUAUGCACUGAACCUUAAAAGAGUUUCANAUGAGGAGAAUGGAGGAUUUCACUGUAUGUUUAUGUUUGGGAAGGCAGAGUUGCGAAAUGGUUAGAACCUCAGCGAUCAAGUUCCUGGGUGACAGAAAAAGAGUUUAGGCUGUGUUGAGGAGACUCUGGGAAAAAGUAUGGAUGUUCAUUGUGGAAACUUUGCACUCUGCUGUGAAGCUUUUCUUUGGGGGGGGGAGGGGGAAUUGAUUUAAGAAUUAUAUGACCAGACUGCAGAAUUUAACACAGAGGACAGGGAGCUGAUGAUGAAAUUCUGCAAUGAAUUCUAUUCACCCAUUUUGCUCAGUGUCUUGCUCAAAGGUUGCUGACUCAUCUUAUUCCUCCUGGCAAACAAUGUGUUGUAUUGAAA
rnacentral:lncRNA from 1 species